rnacentral:snRNA from 1 species
CUGCUUCAACAGCACAAAUACUAUAAUUGGAGCAGAGAAGAUUAACAUGAAUCCCACACAAGGAUGACACUAAUUUGUACAGUUUUCCAUAUUAAA